GAUGAAGAACGCAGCGAAAUGCGAUAAGUAAUGCGAAUUGCAGAAUUUCCGUGAAUCAUCGAAUCUUUGAACGCACAUUGCGCCCGCCAGUAUUCUGGCGGGCAUGCCUGUUCGAGCGUCAUUUCAACCCUCAAGCACAGCUUGGUGUUGGGACUCGCGUUAAUUCGCGUUCCUCAAAUUGAUUGGCGGUCACGUCGAGCUUCCAUAGCGUAGUAGUAAAACCCUCGUUACUGGUAAUCGUCGCGGCCACGCCGUUAAACCCCAACUUCUGAAUGUUGACCUCGGAUCAGGUAGGAAUACCCGCUGAACUUAAGCAUAUCAAUAAGCGGAGGA
rnacentral:misc_RNA from 1 species